rnacentral:rRNA from 1 species
CAGUCGCCACAGUAACACGUAGGUGGCGAGCGUUGUCCGGAAUCAUUGGGCGUAAAGGGAGCGCAGGCGGGCAUGUAAGUCUUUCUUAAAAGUGCGGGGCUCAACCCCGUGAUGGGAAAGAAACUACAUGUCUUGAGUACAGGAGAGGAGAGCGGAAUUCCCAGUGUAGCGGUGAAAUGCGUAGAUAUUGGGAGGAACACCAGUGGCGAAGGCGGCUUUCUGGACUGCAACUGACGCUGAGGCUCGAAAGCCAGGGGAGCGAACGGGAUUAGAUACCCCCGUAGUCCCUGUCUCUUAUACC